GAUGAACGCUGGCGGCGUGCCUAAUACAUGCAAGUCGAGCGAACAGACGAGGAGCUUGCUCCUCUGACGUUAGCGGCGGACGGGUGAGUAACACGUGGAUAACCAACCUAUAAGACUGGGAUAACUUCGGGAAACCGGAGCUAAUACCGGAUAAUAUAUUGAACCGCAUGGUUCAAUAGUGAAAGACGGUUUUGCUGUCACUUAUAGAUGGAUCCGCGCCGCAUUAGCUAGUUGGUAAGGUAACGGCUUACCAAGGCGACGAUGCGUAGCCGACCUGAGAGGGUGAUCGGCCACACUGGAACUGAGACACGGUCCAGACUCCUACGGGAGGCAGCAGUAGGGAAUAUUCGGCAAUGGGCGAAAGCCUGACGGAGCAACGCCGCGUGAGUGAUGAAGGUCUUCGGAUCGUAAAGCUCUUUUAUUGGGGAAGAACAAAUGUAUAAGUAACUAUGCACGUCUUGACGGUACCUAAUCAAAAAGCCACGGCUAACUACGUG
rnacentral:rRNA from 1 species